CGUGCAGGCGGAUUUUAAGUCGGAUGUGAAAACCCCGGGCUUAACCCGGGCCUGCAUCUGAUACUGUUAAUCUUGAGUACGGGAGAGGAAAGCGGAAUUCCAGGUGUAGCGGUGACAUGCGUAGAUAUCUGGAAGAACACCGGUGGCGAAGGCGGCUUUCUGGACCGAUACUGACGCUGAGGCGCGAAAGCCAGGGGAGCAAACA
rnacentral:rRNA from 1 species